rnacentral:rRNA from 1 species
AGGGUUCGAUUAUGGCUCAGAUUGAACGCUGGCGGUAUGCUUAACACAUGCAAGUCGAACGGAAACGAUACUAGCUUGCUAGUAGGCGUCGAGUGGCGGACGGGUGAGUAACGCGUAGGAAUCUGCCUGAUAGUGGGGGAUAGCCCGGAGAAAUUCGGAUUAAUACCGCAUAAUCUAUUCGUAGUAAAGUGGGGGACUUUCGAGCCUCACGCUAUCAGAUGAGCCUGCGUAAGAUUAGCUCGUUGGUAGGGUAAAAGCCUACCAAGGCGACGAUCUUUAGCUGGUCUGAGAGGAUGAUCAGCCACAUCGGGACUGAGACACGGCCCGAACUCCUACGGGAGGCAGCAGUGGGGAAUAUUGGACAAUGGGGGCAACCCUGAUCCAGCAAUACCGCGUGUGUGAAGAAGGCCUGAGGGUUGUAAAGCACUUUCAAUUGUGAAGAAAAGUUAACGGUUAAUAACCGUUAGCCUUGACGUUAACUUUAGAAGAAGCACCGGCUAACUCCGUGCCAGCCGCCGCGGUAAUUCA